rnacentral:rRNA from 1 species
UACGUAGGGGGCAAGCGUUGUCCGGAAUUAUUGGGCGUAAAGCGCGCGCAGGCGGUCUGUUAAGUCUUGUGUUUAAGCCCGGGGCUCAACCCCGGUUCGCAUGGGAAACUGGCAGUACUUGAGUGCAGGAGAGGAAAGCGGAAUUCCACGUGUAGCGGUGAAAUGCGUAGAGAUGUGGAGGAACACCAGUGGCGAAGGCGGCUUUCUGGACUGUAACUGACGCUGAGGCGCGAAAGCGUGGGGAGCAAACAGGAUUAGAUACCCUGGUAGUCCACGCCGUAAACGAUGAGUGCUAGGUGUCGGGGGUUUCGAUACCCGCGGUGCCGAAGUUAACGCAAUAAGCACUCCGCCUGGGGAGUACGCUCGCAAGAGUGAA